UUUAGUGAGCACAGAAUGAAGGAUGGACGGCGCUGUGUUCGCUUGCUCUGUCUCUCUCUCCACCCCGCUCCGUCUCGCCCCUCGCUGAGACUCGCGCGCGCCCCCGCUUAGCGGCCGCUGCCUCUUUCGAGCCGAGGCCGGUCGGCACGCCGCCGCCUCUACCGAGGGAGGCGCGGGGGCGAGGAGAGGGCGGCCGAGGACCGGGACUGGGAGCGGGAGCGGCGGGAGCAAAGGGGGCGGAGGCGCCGGUCCUUCUAGGGCCGGAGGCAGUGGGGCUAGAGCGCCCUGGAGAUGGCGGGGUCACUAUGGGAAGACUCACUCUAGUUCCGGGACCAACGAGCCUUAGGCCUAUCCAACUGAUACCUAUGUAAUUCUCGACCAUUGUUUCCCAUAAGACGCCUCUACAAGCAACAAUGAAAAUUAGUACACUUCUUUUGGCGUGUACUACCGAGCUUCUAAUUUUAGGAAGACUCGAAACCCGUCGUACCGUCUCUUGAAUAGUGGAGACUUGAACGUAAUUCAGACGAGAUGUAAAACUGCCUCUUCGCGUUUUAACGCCCACACCUAGAUAGUAGGAAACUCUUUUAAGACCUCGUAGAACAAUAGUUUCACCACGGUUACCUUUUAAAAUUACCGGCGUUCGCGCAACUUCGUCCCCUCUAAACACUAUCCUCUUUACCUUCUCCCCAACUAGAAUUGUCUUUAACCUCACAACUAACCCCUUUCUUCCUUUUCCUAAUAUUGGGUAAACUCCUCGUAGGGCCAUGACGAGGAAAGUCGCUUGGACUCCGGGUCUAGUACGUUCUUGAUAGGUUCAGUAAAUUUGGUGUAUAGACCCACUUACACGUAAGACCUUACCUCCGUAAUAAAUACGGUAUACUGGUGUUCUUAUGAUGUGGUCUACCUCGAGGAAGAGUGAACUACUCCAGUCAAAAUCUCUUACACUUGGUAGCGUUAAAGGUUCUGUCGACGGAUCAACCUAGUCCACCACCUCGACAUCCCAUGGAACGUGUACCCUGAUGUUGACUAAUAGACAUACUGUAACGCUUCCACGGUUACGGAAAGUGUAAACUCUAUAUACCUCUACUCUUCCGUAGGUGGCUCCUAACGAAGUUUUACAAGUUGGGACAGCUGUUCUAUUGUAAACUAUCUCAGUAAUUGUUCACCACGUACCGUAAAGAGUAUGAAAAGCUCCUUCCCGACGCUUGGGAUGGACUACCGGUCCAUCAUAGGGUUCCUCGUGACCUAUUGACCCAGGGAUACCCUCCUCUCUAAAACCUCUCUUUAUACCUGGUUUUCUCGCCGCCACUUUUACCCUUCGAACUUCCGGAACUGGAGCCUUACGUCCUCGAUUUUUGGAUGAAGUCCAAUAAAUACGAUAGCUGUAAGGACGACUACAAGUACAAGACGAGCUCCUAUAGCUUUUUGUCCUCGUCUCUGAGUCUACUUGUUUCAUAUCGUACUUAGUAAGGUUGUUUUCAGGUAAAAGACCCCGUUGAAACCUCCGCGCCGCUGUCCCCUACUGUUCUUACCAUCUUAGUCUUACCACAAAACGUCGGAGACGAAUCUACGAUCUACAUACAGUUCUCACUAGACAAAUACAGAAGCUGCUCAGUAUUUACAUUCAACAUCUCGACAGCUAUAGACAAACAGCACUACUUAUCCAUCUUAGUCUUACUUAUACGCGCGGAAAACUUCCAACGACCAAAAAACUGUGCUAACUUACAUUGCAAGUCAGCAGUUGAAUGACACUAUGCUGACUCACAUCGUAAAGUGACACCUGAAUGAAACUGUACUAACUUACAUUAUAAGGUAAUGGUUGUAUAAUACUCAAAAAAGUGACUUUACAACUUGAC
rnacentral:rRNA from 1 species